rnacentral:rRNA from 1 species
AACGAACGCUGGCGGCAUGCCUAACACAUGCAAGUCGAACGAGACCUUCGGGUCUAGUGGCGCACGGGUGCGUAACGCGUGGGAACCUGCCCUUAGGUUCGGAAUAACUCCCCGAAAGGGGUGCUAAUACCGGAUAAUGUCUUCGGACCAAAGAUUUAUCGCCUUUGGAUGGGCCCGCGUUGGAUUAGCUAGUUGGUAGGGUAAAAGCCUACCACGGCGACGAUCCAUAGCUGGUCUGAGAGGAUGAUCAGCCACACUGGGACUGAGACACGGCCCAGACUCCUACGGGAGGCAGCAGUGGGGAAUAUUGGACAAUGGGCGAAAGCCUGAUCCAGCAAUGCCGCGUGAGUGAUGAAGGCCUUAGGGUUGUAAAGCUCUUUUACCCGGGAGGAUAAUGACAGUACCGGGAGAAUAAGCGCCGGCUAACUCCGUG